rnacentral:rRNA from 1 species
GAUGAACGCUGGCGGCGUGCCUAAUACAUGCAAGUCGAGCGAACAGACGAGAAGCUUGCUCCUCUGACGUUAGCGGCUGACGGGUGAGUAACACGUGGAUCACCUACCUAUAUUACUGGGAUAACUUCGUGAAACCAGAUCUAAUACCGGAUAAUAUAUUGAACCGCAUGGUUCAAUAGUUAUAGACGGUUUUGCUGUCACUUAUAGAUGGAUCCGCGCCGCAUUAGCUAGUUGGUAAGGUAACGGCUUACCAAGGCAACGAUGCGUAGCCGACCUGAGAGGGUGAUCGGCCACACUGGAACUGAGACACGGUCCAGACUCCUACGGGAGGCAGCAGUAGGGAAUAUUCGGCAAUGGGCGAAAGCCUGACGGAGCAACGCCGCGUGAGUGAUGAAGGUCUUCGGAUCGUAAAACUCUGUUAUUAGGGAAGAAAAAAUGUGUAAGUAACUAUGCACGUCUUGACGGUACCUAAUCAGAAAGCAACGGCUAACUACGUG